UACGAAGGGAGCUAGCGUUGCUCGGAAUCACUGGGCGUAAAGGGUGCGUAGGCGGGUCUUUAAGUCAGGGGUGAAAUCCUGGAGCUCAACUCCGGAACUGCCUUUGAUACUGGGGAUCUCGAGUCCGGGAGAGGUGAGUGGAAUUGCGAGUGUAGAGGUGAAAUUCGUAGAUAUUCGCAAGAACACCAGUGGCGAAGGCGGCUCACUGGCCCGGUACUGACGCUGAGGUGCGAAAGCGUGGGGAGCAAACAGG
rnacentral:rRNA from 1 species